ACGGAGGAUGCAAGCGUUAUCCGGAUUCAUUGGGUUUAAAGGGUCCGCAGGCGGGAUAAUAAGUCAGAGGUGAAAUCCUACGGCUCAACUGUAGAACUGCCUUUGAUACUGUUAUCCUAGAGUGUAGUUGAGGUGGGCGGAAUAUCUCAUGUAGCGGUGAAAUGCUUAGAUAUUAGAUGGAACACCGGUGGCGAAGGCAGCUCACUGGGCUACAACUGACGCUGAGGUGCGAAAGCGUGGGUAGCAAACAG
rnacentral:rRNA from 1 species